UACGUAGGGACCGAGCGUUGUCCGGAAUCAUUGGGCGUAAAGAGCGUGUAGGCGGCCACUUAAGUCCUGCGUGAAAUCUUGCGGCUCAACCGCAAGCGGUCGUGGGAAACUGGGUGGCUAGAGUGCGGGAGAGGAGAGUGGAAUUCCUGGUGUAGCGGUGGAAUGCGCAGAUAUCAGGAAGAACACCCGUGGCGAAGGCGGCUCUCUGGACAGAUACUGACACUGAGGCACGAAAGCAUGGGGAGCAAACAGG
rnacentral:rRNA from 1 species